CCGCCGGUUGCAGGUACCACAUCCUCGCCAAAUUUCUGUAGGAUCAACAUUCCUUCUGGUCAUACGGAAUGAAUAGAGUUAGAAAAUGUAAGUCAUACUGUACCUAUGUAAAUAUGUUUGCAUAUUCUGCAUGAUUUCUAACUUGGUACGUAUGUAAUCUCUACAAACCCGAACAGGAUUCUGGUAAAUUUGAUUUUGCUACUCGAGUAGAAAAUUCUCUAGAAGACAGGAUACCAAAGGUUGGUAUGAAAUUCUGCACUGAGGAAGAAGCCUAUAACUUUUACAAUGCUUACGCCAGAUACAAGGGUUUCAGCAUCCGAAGGAGUAGUUCACACAAUGUUAAAAAUACUACAACAAUAAAGAACAGAACCUUUUGUUGUUCUCGUGCAGGUAUCAAAUUAAAUCUUUUUUAUAAUAGUUUCUUCAUGGUUUAGGAUAGAACAUCAAUUUAAUCAAAUUUUUUAUUUAUCAAUAGGUAUUCGGGGUCCUGAUAAAAGAGAAGAAAAUUCCAAGUACAGUAGGCCUGAGACACGAUGCAUGUGUCAAGCACGCAUGAAGAUAAGUCUCACGGAUGGGUUGUACUACAUCUAUGAAUUUGAGCCUGAGCAUAACCAUAUUCUUGCUACUGUCAUCCAAGCCCAGUACUUAAGAUCUCAAAGGAGAAUAACUACAGCACAGAUUGCCAGUGUCGAAGCUGCUAAAGCGGUUGGGGUUUCAAAUAAAGCCACUUUUGAUCUCAUGGCAAAAGAAGCCGGUGGAAAUGAGAAUCUUGGAUUUACGCGUGAAGAUAUGAAAAAUAAAUUAUAUUCAAAGAGAUCAAUGAAGGUAAAACAAGGAGACACGGGAGGAGUGUUGGAAUAUUUGGAGAAGAAAGCAUCAGAAGAUGGGAAGUUUUUCCAUUCCUUUCAGGUUGACGAUGAUGACUUGAUAACGAAUAUUUUUUGGGCUGAUUCUAAAAUGGUUUCAGACUAUGAAAUUUAUGGUGAUGUCGUUUGCUUUGACACAACAUACAGAAAGCUAAAUGAUGGGCGUCCAUUCGGUUUGCUAGUUGGAGUGAACAAUCAUAAGAAAACUACUAUUUUUGGUGCUGCACUUUUGUAUGACGAAACUGCUGAAAGUUUUGUGUGGCUUUUCAAAACUUUUUUUAGCUGUUAUGUCAGGCAAGAAGCCAAAGACCAUUUUAACUGAUGAAGAUGUAGCAAUGGCAAAAGCAAUCAAGCUAGUGCUACCAGAGAGUCAUCACAGGAUUUGUAUUUGGCAUAUGAACCAGAAUGCAUACAAGCACCUUUCUGGAGUUGUGGAAGAACAUAAGAAGUUCAAUACAGAUUUUCAAAACUGUAUUUAUGAUCAAGAGGAUGAGAAGGAUUUUAUAAACGUGUGGAACAAUUUGCUAGAUAAGUAUAAGCUACAAGAAAAUAAAUGGCUCGAAAGAUUAUUUGAUAAAAGGGAGCAAUGGGCCUUAGCAUAUGGACGAAAUACAUUUUCUGCUGAUAUGGUUAGCACUCAAAGAAGUGAAAGCAUGAAUAAUGAAUUGAAGGGAUAUAUUAGUGUCAAAUAUGAUAUACUUACUUUUUUUGAGCACUUUGACAGGUUGGUGGGAGAUAAAAGAUAUGAAGAGGUAAAAUAUGAUUUCAAAGCAACACAAAGUACACCAAAGUUGAAAGCAGACCUAACAAUACUAAGGCAUGCAGCAAAAAUUUAUACCCCAGCAGUAUUCAAGCUAGUACAAGAACAAGUUAUGCAAACACUAAACUGCGAUCUAUUCUAUUCUGGUGAUAUUGAUGCUGAAAAGGUGUACAAAAUAAAGGUUUAUGGUAAGAAAAAUGAGCAUGUCGUAAAGUUUUCUGCACUUGAAGGUCAUGUGAAGUGUAGCUGCAAAAAGUUCGAAUUUGCUGGAAUCUUAUGCUGCCAUGCAUUGAAGAUACUUGAUAUUAACAAUAUAAAAAAAAUUCCUGAACAGUACAUACUCAACAGAUGGACAAUUGAUGCAAAAGUGGUUCAUAUAAAGAGCAACCCUGAGAUACAUGAAGAUCCCAAAAUAAAGCUAUCCAAACGCAGAAAAGAGUUGUAUAGAAUAUUCCUUCAGUUAGCUAACCGAGCUGCAGAAUCCGAUGAAACAUACUCUAUUGCUGUGAACAGUGCAGAGAAAUUAGCAGAGGAUGUGGAGAAAAGCUUGAAAAAUAGAGGCGAUACAGAUACGGGUAGUUCAUCUCAGCCGCAAGGUUUGCACUGGAAUACUACUUAUCUUAACCCCACAUAUGCCACACAAUUUAUUUGUUUUUGUAAUUUUUUUUAAAAAAUGACUUUUGCAGCUACACUACAACUAGACCAGGCUAUAAAACCAAAAGGUGUCAAGGUUAAGGAGAAGGCAAUCCAUGGAUCUGAUAAACCAAUUGGUGGAUUUGAGAAGGCAACAUAAAAGAGAAAAAAGAAUAAGAAUGACCCAAACAAAAGGUGUCAAGGUUAAGGAGAAGGCAAUCCAUGGAUCUGACAAACCAAUUGGUGGAUUUGAGAAGGCAACACAAAAGAGAAAAAAGAAUAAGAAUGACCCAAAGACAUCUGGUUCUGCAUCUGGUUUUGAGAAGGCAACACGAAAGAGGAAAAAGACCAACAAUGACUCAAAGGCAUCUAGCUCAGCAAUGGAAUCAGAUAUUGUGACACAUUUGCGACCACAAGCCAUAUUGGUAUAAGAUUUCAACAUUAUUUACUAUUACUAUUAUUAAGACUAGUCACAUAUUCAGUAGUGAUAUUCAAAUCCUUUUUCUUGGUUUGAACACGGCCACUUAGGGACUAGUACAGAUCAACAUCACAUACAGACACCAGGCUACUAUCAAGGCUACUAUCCUGUUGGAAAUGCUUUUACGCAUCCAUCCUUCGGUUCUUUCUUUGGGACCCCUGAUCAUGGUCAACAUACACAGCAAGAAAAUACCACUCAAUCAUUUGUUACAAAUCCCUACAAUAAUAUGUUUUCCCAUUUUAAUUGAACUAUUGAAAGCCACAUCCUUUUAGGCCACAUCCUUUUAGGAGAAUGGAUGUGUUCUGUGCACUAUCUAUCGAAUCCUUUGUAUCAAACAAUUUAUCUUACCUAGGAACUAUAUUUUCUGUAUUUUGUAAAAAACAAUUAAUAUAAUUUCAUUUCUGUUCACAAACUAAUCAACUGAUUGCAAGUAUCACACUGAAGUGGUAAAGUGCAUAUUCCUCACGAAAAAAGGGGGAAGGCACAAGACAACUAACCAGACUAGAUUUGUCAGGGGGAAGAUUCUUUGCUCCGACAAGAGGACCUUGAAGGAUACACCAUCACCAUCGUAUUCACAACACCUGCUGUCACACCCUCCCAGCUCGAUGUCCCACCAUGGUGACCUUGACUGGACGCAAUGACGAGGAAACCGCAAAAUAGAAAUCCUCACGAUCCUAAUCGAGAUCUUGCAGCAAGAAUCGAGGUUGUAGCCACCCAAAUCGAAAUCCUACAGCCGGAAUCGAGAUCCUGCCCACCCAAAUCGAAAUCAGCAAUAAUCGAGAUUCCGCAGACCAAAUCAGCUCCCUACCACCGUGCUUUACCUUGUUGUUCCACCAAUCGAACUUCUUGCUAUUGGAUGUAAAGUCCCGCUGAGAUCGAGCUCUUCGAUUUGUGCAGCAGCUAGGCGGACCAGCUUGGAGGAGAGAAGGGGAAAGGAUAGAACAGAGGACGGAGCGGCGACAGACU
rnacentral:lncRNA from 1 species